GCGUGCCUUUUGUAGAAUGAACCGGCGAGUUACGAUUUGAUGCAAGGUUAAGCAGUAAAUGUGGAGCCGUAGCGAAAGCGAGUCUGAAUAGGGCGUUUAGUAUUUGGUCGUAGACCCGAAACCAGGUGAUCUACCCUUGGUCAGGUUGAAGUUCAGGUAACACUGAAUGGAGGACCGAACCGACUUACGUUGAAAAGUGAGCGGAUGAACUGAGGGUAGCGGAGAAAUUCCAAUCGAACCUGGAGAUAGCUGGUUCUCUCCGAAAUAGCUUUAGGGCUAGCCUCAAGUGAUGAUUAUUGGAGGUAGAGCACUGUUUGGACGAGGGGCCCCUCUCGGGUUACCGAAUUCAGACAAACUCCGAAUGCCAAUUAAUUUAACUUGGGAGUCAGAACAUGGGUGAUAAGGUCCGUGUUCGAAAGGGAAACAGCCCAGACCACCAGCUAAGGUCCCAAAAUAUAUGUUAAGUGGAAAAGGAUGUGGCGUUGCCCAGACAACUAGGAUGUUGGCUUAGAAGCAGCCAUCAUUUAAAGAGUGCGUAAUAGCUCACUAGUCGAGUGACACUGCGCCGAAAAUGUACCGGGGCUAAACAUAUUACCGAAGCUGUGGAUUGUCCUUUGGACAAUGGUAGGAGAGCGUUCUAAGGGCGUUGAAGCAUGAUCGUAAGGACAUGUGGAGCGCUUAGAAGUGAGAAUGCCGGUGUGAGUAGCGAAAGACGGGUGAGAAUCCCGUCCACCGAUUGACUAAGGUUUCCAGAGGAAGGCUCGUCCGCUCUGGGUUAGUCGGGUCCUAAGCUGAGGCCGACAGGCGUAGGCGAUGGAUAACAGGUUGAUAUUCCUGUACCACCUAUAAUCGUUUUAAUCGAUGGGGGGACGCAGUAGGAUAGGCGAAGCGUGCGAUUGGAUUGCACGUCUAAGCAGUAAGGCUGAGUAUUAGGCAAAUCCGGUACUCGUUAAGGCUGAGCUGUGAUGGGGAGAAGACAUUGUGUCUUCGAGUCGUUGAUUUCACACUGCCGAGAAAAGCCUCUAGAUAGAAAAUAGGUGCCCGUACCGCAAACCGACACAGGUAGUCAAGAUGAGAAUUCUAAGGUGAGCGAGCGAACUCUCGUUAAGGAACUCGGCAAAAUGACCCCGUAACUUCGGGAGAAGGGGUGCUCUUUAGGGUUAACGCCCAGAAGAGCCGCAGUGAAUAGGCCCAAGCGACUGUUUAUCAAAAACACAGGUCUCUGCUAAACCGUAAGGUGAUGUAUAGGGGCUGACGCCUGCCCGGUGCUGGAAGGUUAAGAGGAGUGGUUAGCUUCUGCGAAGCUACGAAUCGAAGCCCCAGUAAACGGCGGCCGUAACUAUAACGGUCCUAAGGUAGCGAAAUUCCUUGUCGGGUAAGUUCCGACCCGCACGAAAGGCGUAACGAUUUGGGCACUGUCUCAACGAGAGACUCGGUGAAAUCAUAGUACCUGUGAAGAUGCAGGUUACCCGCGACAGGACGGAAAGACCCCGUGGAGCUUUACUGUAGCCUGAUAUUGAAAUUCGGCACAGCUUGUACAGGAUAGGUAGGAGCCUUUGAAACGUGAGCGCUAGCUUACGUGGAGGCGCUGGUGGGAUACUACCCUAGCUGUGUUGGCUUUCUAACCCGCACCACUUAUCGUGGUGGGAGACAGUGUCAGGCGGGCAGUUUGACUGGGGCGGUCGCCUCCUAAAAGGUAACGGAGGCGCUCAAAGGUUCCCUCAGAAUGGUUGGAAAUCAUUCAUAGAGUGUAAAGGCAUAAGGGAGCUUGACUGCGAGACCUACAAGUCGAGCAGGGUCGAAAGACGGACUUAGUGAUCCGGUGGUUCCGCAUGGAAGGGCCAUCGCUCAACGGAUAAAAGCUACCCCGGGGAUAACAGGCUUAUCUCCCCCAAGAGUUCACAUCGACGGGGAGGUUUGGCACCUCGAUGUCGGCUCAUCGCAUCCUGGGGCUGUAGUCGGUCCCAAGGGUUGGGCUGUUCGCCCAUUAAAGCGGUACGCGAGCUGGGUUCAGAACGUCGUGAGACAGUUCGGUCCCUAUCCGUCGUGGGCGUAGGAAAUUUGAGAGGAGCUGUCCUUAGUACGAGAGGACCGGGAUGGACAUACCUCUGGUGUACCAGUUGUCGUGCCAACGGCAUAGCUGGGUAGCUAUGUGUGGACGGGAUAAGUGCUGAAAGCAUCUAAGCAUGAAGCCCCCCUCAAGAUGAGAUUUCCCAACUUCGGUUAUAAGAUCCCUCAAAGAUGAUGAGGUUAAUAGGUUCGAGGUGGAAGCAUGGUGACAUGUGGAGCUGACGAAUACUAAUCGAUCGAAGACUUAAUCAAAA
rnacentral:rRNA from 1 species